rnacentral:lncRNA from 1 species
CUGAGCGUAAUGUUAAUGUUCUGAGUGCUUCUGAAGUGACAGGAAGUGGUGCAUAUGCCCAGGGACAAAGCCAAGUUGAGGAGCAGAACCACAGUAGCUUGAGGAAGGAAUAGGUGAGAGUGAUCCACCUGCCUCGGCCUCCCAAAGUGCUGGGAUUACAGGCGUGAGCCACCGCGUCCAGCCAAUUGGUGGGUUCCUGGUCUCACUGACUUCAAGAAUGAAGCCACGGACCCUCGCAGUGAGUGUUACAGUUCUUAAAGAUGGUGUGUUCAGAAUUUGUUCCUUCUGAUGUUCGGACGUGUAUGGAGUUUCUUCAUUCUGGUGGGUUCGUGGUCUCUCUGGCUUCAGGAAUGAAGCUGUAGAACUCUGCGAUGCUGUUACGAACUUCCCUUAGAAUCAACCCAUUUGUGAAACACCACAUUAAUAAGAGCAGUAUCUUUGGAGAUUGGAGAGUCCACCAAGGAUGCCCACUGGCUCCCUACAAAGUUUUUUAUGUGAGGACUCGGUCUCAGGCUCAGAAGUGGAAGAGAUGUGCCUUGACUCAGAUGAGACUUUGGACUUGGACUUUUGAGUUAAUUCUGGAAUGAGUUAAAACUUUAGGGGACUGUUG